UACGUAGGGGGCAAGCGUUGUCCGGAAUCAUUGGGCGUAAAGAGCGUGUAGGCGGCCCGGUAAGUCCGCUGUGAAAGUCCAGGGCUCAACCCUGGGAUGCCGGUGGAUACUGUCGGGCUCGAGUCCGGAAGAGGAGUGUGGAAUUCCGUAGGUGUGAGCGGUGAAAUGCGCAGAUAUCAGGAGAACACCAAUGGCGAAGGCAG
rnacentral:rRNA from 1 species